CCCAAGCCGACCAUGCUUCAAAAAGGACCCUCGCACCGGGAACCCCCUUCAGACGGUGGAGCGCACGGCAUCCAUGGGAACAGAGCGGGGACCCCCUCUCUGCAUCUCUACCCAUCCCGACCGACACCAAACACCCAGCACACUCCCACCCAACCAAAUCGGGCCAGGACCAGUGUGAACGAUCCUUCUUCUUCAAGACGCAGACUGAGUCUGCAGGGGGAAACACAACAUGGACAGUUGACACAACAUGCUGCAGGUUUAAUAGCUGCAGGUCAGACCGGCUGGCUGGGUGACAAACUGAAGAAUUCAUUCAAACCUCCGGUUCUUUAUAUGGGACUGAGUCACUUCCAAUGUAAUCAGCAGGACGUAGGAGGUUGUAGUCCAUGUUGAUCAAAGAUGCUUGAGUCUUUCCAGUAAUUACAUAUGGUGAGCGCAGGGGGUACCUGCAACACAAUCCCCUCAGUCGGAUAGCUCUGCAUUACAACACACUGAUAUUAUUUCAGAUGGAUUGACUUUCAUUUACCCCUUAUACAAUUACUGAACCCAGACCACCAGCUGACGCUCAAACAACAGGACGAAAUGUGAUCUUUUCCUGAAGCUGUCUGUGUGUCACAAAGGCUCAUCGAAACCGGUGCAGUGCCUCAUUAAUGCCACAAGGGGGGCACAAGUUUGACUAGGGAGGAACUAGUAUGUGUUACGUCGUUGCCUGAGGCAUUGACGGGAUAAGCAUAUUAUAUAUAUAUAGCCUAUAUUCUGAGCUGUCGCAGUUGGGUGUAUGAGCCAAAUUUAUAAACAUAUGGUGUAAAAUAUUAACAGUUUUGCAUUAUUGUGUCCCUCAUGAAAAUAUCAACAAUGUGACGUUUUGAAGAAAUGUUUCUUUUAACAAAUCAACAAAAAUCCAGAAUAAACAAAAAUGAAUCUUGUAUUGGUUUAAUGUGUGUCAUUCUCGGUCACUAAAAAGCACGAGUGUUUAUUAUUAGGGUGUGCCCUACAGGAGCCGCGUGUCUUUCUGUAUAUGGACUGAGCACUCCCAGUUCAUCCAGUAGUUCUCAGAAGAGAGAUUAAUCUGAUGUUUGGAUGAGAUUAAGUCUGAUGUAAAUUCCCCUCAUGACACGCAGACAUUUUCAAAUCUUC
ensembl:lncRNA